rnacentral:ncRNA from 2 species
AUAUUCCUUCAGGGCAGGGUGAAAUUCCCGACCGGCGGUAAAGUCCGCGAACCUUAUGGUUGAUCUGGUGAGAUUCCAGAACCGACAGUAAAGUCUGGAUGGGAGAAGGAUAAC